CAGGGAGACAACAAAAUGUUUAAUAUUAUUAUUUUGUCACCUUAGGUCGAUCGGUACCUCACGUUCUUAAUUUAUUAAGAAUUUCAUUUCCUAAGUUUUUCUAGGUCACACCCAUUAUUUUUCCUGGGCCAUUAGCUCAGGUGGUUAGAGCGCACCCCUGAUAAGGGUGAGGUCCCUGGUUCAAGUCCAGGAUGGCCCAUAUCUCUAUGUUGGGGGUAUAGCUCAGUUGGUAGAGCGCCUGCUUUGCAAGCAGGAUGUCAGCGGUUCGAGUCCGCUUACCUCCACUGAUUACCACCUCUUCCAUAAUUUGUAGAAAGGAAAUUUUUUGAGUUGUGAUCAAAUUCUGAACGAAUCUAGCUUCCUAAUGAAAUCAUUAAGAUGCUGGAUUCAUUGAAUUAAUUUCAUUGUUUUCAGAGAACCUUGACAACUGCAUAGAUUAUUUUAAAGACAAUAAGCAUCUUUAAUGAUGCAGAUUUAUUAUUUGUGCGAAUGCAUUAAUAACAAUUCUAUUAAGCUGAUGCUUCAAUUUUGAAGUUAUU
rnacentral:tRNA from 1 species